rnacentral:rRNA from 1 species
GACGAACCGUGCGAACGUUAUUCGGAAUCAUUGGGCUUAAAGCGCGUGUAGGCGGAUUCGUGCGUCUGUCGCUGAAAUCCCCCGGCUCAACCGGGGAACGGGCGCGGAUACGACGAGUCUGGAGGGGCAUAGGGGGACCUGGAACUUCCGGUGGAGCGGUGAAAUGCGUUGAGAUCGGAAGGAACGCCCGUGGCGAAAGCGAGGUCCUGGACGUUUUCUGACGCUGAGACGCGAAAGCCAGGGGAGCGAACGGG